rnacentral:rRNA from 1 species
CGAAAAACCUUACCUACCCUUGACAUGUCUGGAAUCCUGAAGAGAUUUAGGAGUGCUCGCAAGAGAACCGGAACACAGGUGCUGCAUGGCUGUCGUCAGCUCGUGUCGUGAGAUGUUGGGUUAAGUCCCGCAACGAGCGCAACCCUUGUCAUUAGUUGCUACGAAAGGGCACUCUAAUGAGACUGCCGGUGACAAACCGGAGGAAGGUGGGGAUGACGUCAAGUCCUCAUGGCCCUUAUGGGUAGGGCUUCACACGUCAUACAAUGGUCGGGACAGAGGGUAGCCAACCCGCGAGGGGGAGCCAAUCUCAGAAACCCGAUCGUAGUCCGGAUUGUAGGCUGCAACUCGCCUGCAUGAAGUCGGAAUCGCUAGUAAUCGCGGAUCAGCAUGUCGCGGUGAAUACGUUCCCGGGUCUUGUACACACCGCCCGUCACACCAUGGGAGUGGGUUUCACCAGAAGUAGGUAGCCUAACCGUAAGGGGGGCGCUUACCACGGUGGGAUUCAUGACUGGGGUGAAGUCGUAACAAGGUAAGCGUAGUGCU